GACGAACCGUGCGAACGUUGUUCGGAUUCACUGGGCUUAAAGGGCGCGUAGGCGGACUCGCCAGUCUGUGGUGAAAGCCCCCAGCUCAACUGGGGAAGGGCCGUGGAUACUGCGAGUCUGGAGGAGGGUAGGGGCAUCUGGAACGCUGGGUGGAGCGGUGAAAUGCGUUGAUAUCCAGCGGAACUCCGGUGGCGAAGGCGGCUCUCUGGGACGGUACUGACGCUGAGACGCGAAAGCGUGGGGAGCGAACAGG
rnacentral:rRNA from 1 species